rnacentral:rRNA from 1 species
AGCAGCCGCGGUAAUUCCAGCUCCAAUAGCGUAUAUUAAAGUUGUUGCAGUUAAAAAGCUCGUAGUUGAAUUUCGGGAUCAAAGGAUCGGUCAUGCCUUGAUAUGUACUGGUUUUAUUGGUUCUCACCUUCUAAAGAACCAUAAUGUCAUUCAUUUGAUGUUAUGGGGAAUUAGGACUGUUACCUUGAAAAAUUAGAGUGUUUAAAGCAGGCUUACGCUUGAAUACAUUAGCAUGGAAUAAUGAAAUAGGACAUCAGAUUCUAUUUUGUUGGUUUCUAGGAUCGAUGUAAUGAUUAAUAGGAUAGUUGGGGCAUUAGUAUUCAAUUGUCAGAGGUGAAAUUCUUGGUAUUUA